AAGCGGUGGAGUAUGUGGUUUAAUUCGAAUCAACGCGCAGAACCUUACCAACCCUUGACAUGGGACGUAUGAGCUUCAGAGAUGGAGUUCUUCACUUCGGGUGGCGUCCACAUAGGUGCUGCAUGGCUGUCGUCAGCUCGUGUCGUGAGAUGUUGGGUUAAGUCCCGCAACGAGCGCAACCCUCAUCCUUAGUUGCCAUCAGGUUUGCUGGGCACUCUAAGGGAACUGCCGGUGAUAAGCCGGAGGAAGUGGGGAUGACGUCAAGUCCUCAUGGCCCUUAUGGGUUGGGCUACACACGUACUACAAUGGCAGUGACAACGGCAAGCAAAGGGUAACCUGGAGCGAAUCCUUUAAAACUGCCUCAGUUCGGAUUGUCCUCUGCAACUCGAGGACAUGAAGUCGGAAUCGCUAGUAAUCGCGGAUCACAUCCGCGGUGAAUACGUUCCCGG
rnacentral:rRNA from 1 species